GGUGGUAUAGUAUAAUGGCCAGUACAACACGUUGUGGAAACAACGGUUCCGUGUAGAUCUGGGUUCGAUUCCCAGUACCGCCA